rnacentral:tRNA from 1 species
CCUAGUCGUGGCGCAGUUGGUAGCGCGCUUGACUGGGGGUCAAGAGGCCGUGAGUUCAAGUCUCGCCACUCGGACCA